GAGAGAGAAAGAAAGAAGAAAGGAAAAGGAGGAAGAAGAAGAAAGAAAAAAGAAAAUCGAUCGUAGAGCUUCAUCGGAGUUGGGUCUUGAUAUUUUAAGCUCGGAUUAAUGAUCAGCUCGUCGGGAUCUUCGAUUUGAGGAUUUGGAAGGAGUGUUGGUGAAGAUCUAGAGUAUUUGAAGUUCUUGAACUAAAGAAGGGAAAUUUGAGGAUUCAUUGGUGUUCUUGACAAAGAGGUUACCCAAGUAGAGAUCAGGAGCCGGGCCCCACUAUGGAGUUUCCCUCUGAGGACUGGUGGGUCCCUGAUGAGUUCGAGCACGGUGUCGAUUGCACGUGCAAGGAUUGUGUUGCAUGGCAGUAGUGACUCCUGAGUGAUUAUUUUUUAUUAUUUUGAUGU